rnacentral:tRNA from 1 species
AUUUAGAUAGUUUAUUGAAAAUAUUAACUUGUGGAGUUAAAGAAGCAUUUUUGUUCUAGAUA